UGGAAACGACUGCUAAUACCGCAUAAGCCCACGGGUCGGCAUCGACCUGAGGGAAAAGGAGUGAUCCGCUUUGAGAUGGCCUCGCGUCCGAUUAGCUAGUUGGUGAGGUAAUGGCCCACCAAGGCGACGAUCGGUAGCCGGACUGAGAGGUUGAACGGCCACAUUGGGACUGAGACACGGCCCAGACUCCUACGGGAGGCAGCAGUGGGGAAUAUUGCACAAUGGGGGAAACCCUGAUGCAGCGACGCCGCGUGGAGGAAGAAGGUCUUCGGAUUGUAAACUCCUGUUGUUGAGGAAGAUAAUGAC
rnacentral:rRNA from 1 species